GAAAAAAACAUUUCUUGGCCUACUUUAAAAAGAAAUUUUUGUGUGUUUUGUUUGUUUGUUUGUUUUUACUUUGACUUCAGUGGUUUAUUGGCAUCCAUUCAAGCCAUUUCAACACAACCAUGUGAUUCACGUGCCAUCCAAAGUGUACAGAUCAAAGUACUUUCAAAGAAACCCAAGGAGCAGGAUUAUCCAUUUGAUCACUUUCUGUUUAAGGGAGAGUCACCACUUUGUUCCUACUAUGAAUCCAGCUUUUGUGCUGUUGUCGUUAUUGAAGCUGAGAGAGGACCAGGAAGGAAUGAACCAUGGCCUUUGAGGCAAUGGGACGAACUUUCUUCUCCAGCUGUGAGAAGACAACGUGGGAACAAACUACAGACUGAAUCUGGCCACCUCCUCAUGGCCCCAUAGAGCCGCACAGAGCAAUUAACAUAACAAGCAAUGGGCACCUCCAGCGAGGAAACCGGAACCUAUAAACUUGGGUCUCUCCACACCCAACAUGAAGCAUAAAAGCAAGCAAAGCAAACUUGACCUCCACCCAAGGACUAGCAUUCAACUCGCUAACACCUGUAUUCCUACUUAUUAUAAUCUACCUGCUCCUUUUGCCUUGGCAGCCUUCUCUGGGUUUGACUCCUCACCUGCCCAGACCUGGGGAAUCGAUCAGUUCUUCAUUUUUAGCUGGAUUUUAAGACCUCCUUCCUGGCCAGCUGCAGCCAGCUCCCACUCAAACCCCAGAGUAAUAGUCCGUUAGAAAUGACUUCUAUGACACCCUUGUGCCUAAAAAGAAUUGGUGAAAUAGUUUUUGAUUACUUCUUUUAACAAGUCAAAAUAAUGGACUAUUUCACAAUCUCAUUGUCCUAACAAGAAUGCAAUUCUUUAAGCUCUUCGUUCACCCAAUGGAAAGCCUCGGAUGAUUGAAAACUGAGCCCUGUUGCUCUAUAAAGACCAGAGCUUUUCUCAAAUGUUUGCUUUUCCACACUUGCACCUGCACUUCACCACGAUAAUAAAGCCUAAAGAAGUUUAAGGAGAGAUGUGCCUAAUUCAGAACACAGACGCUUAAGGAAAGAUUUCUGUUUUUAAAAGAGAUUUCUAUAAAUGAUUUAGCAAAUCUGUGCAUAUAACCUGUCCAAAGUGCUAACACACUUUGCUUCAAGCAGCCAAUUUUGCAGGCAAAGCUCUGGUUUUCUCGUUCCUUCUGUGAGCUGUGGCUGUCAUUUCCUCAUGGCCCAGCCCUCAGUGAUGCACGAACCAGAGAUGUAUUUCUCAUUUGUGCAUAAAAGUGGUUUCCUUGAAUUAUGAGUCCCAAAGUUCCAAGACACUUACAGUCUGGGUGGCCACACAGGUAUAAGCGCAUAAAAGUCUGUUCUUAGCAUGGCUGAAGGAGUGAACGUUUUCACUCCAAACAACUCAUCUCUCUGGGAACAUGCUACGCAGCACUCCGUCAGGGAGAGGCAUAUUUGUGGUCAUCAUGUACUACAGUAAUGGUACAAGGAGACACACACCAAGAGAAGUUAGAAAAUCAAAGAGCAAAAUAAAUCCCGCUCUUUAUACGAUAGGAUCCUUUAGCUCCCCUCCCCACCCCACCCUCCUCUGGAAAACAUCUUAGCUCCUCGGAAUUCAAAAGAAAUGCCAAAGGGGAGGUUGUGUCUGUGAAUUCAACCAUAAGCCCAAUAGUAUCAGAAGUUAAAAUCUACACUUUCAAAGAGAGUAAAAAAUGAAUAAAGAUUUUUUGAAAAAGAGCCUCAACUUUUGAUUAAUUGCACAAAAUAAAGACUCCUCUAGAGGCGAAAGUUUUCAACCUUUUCAGACUUGGCGAAGGGAGGCUCCCGUUGGCCAUGCAGGGGUGCUGGAGUGGUAUGUGUGCAUGAGGAUCUGAUCCCGGAGGAGAGCGAGUCAGCAUAGCCCCGCAGCAGGGCCCAGGCCUUGCCCAGAGACUGAGGACCACCAAGGGGUCACCUCUGCUCCACUGGAACAGAGGAAGAAAGCAGAAAGGAAUGUGGCCCUCUGGAACUAAUGCAAGUUCUUCAGAUUCAGGAGAUCCAUUUUCUCUUCUGAGUGAUUCCUGGGGCCCCGGAAACUUGUUCUUCUAAAAGCCAAAAGAACCCUUAAAAGGCUAUAACUAUUCUCCUGGAAAAUUUAACUCAAAUUGGAAGCAUCCAGUUUCCUAUAAGCAGUAUGUCUUAUGCUCCUUUUUCCUCCUAUGUACCUAGGAAAAGAAUUAUUAUUGAUUAUAAAAUACACAUUUGCCUAUUAAAACAAGGCUGCUAAACUGAGCAAUGUUAUGACAAGUCAUUAUGAAUGCAUG